AGAGUUUGAUCAUGGCUCAGAUUGAACGCUGGCGGAAUGCUUUACACAUGCAAGUCGAACGGCAGCACGGGAGCUUGCUCCUGGUGGCGAGUGGCGAACGGGUGAGUAAUGCGUCGGAACGUACCGAGUAAUGGGGGAUAACGCAGCGAAAGCUGUGCUAAUACCGCAUACGCCCUGAGGGGGAAAGUGGGGGAUCGCAAGACCUCACGUUAUUCGAGCGGCCGACGUCUGAUUAGCUAGUUGGUGGGGUAAAGGCCUACCAAGGCGACGAUCAGUAGCGGGUCUGAGAGGAUGAUCCGCCACACUGGAACUGAGACACGGUCCAGACUCCUACGGGAGGCAGCAGUGGGGAAUUUUGGACAAUGGGGGCAACCCUGAUCCAGCCAUUCCGCGUGAGUGAAGAAGGCCUUCGGGUUGUAAAGCUCUUUCAGCUGGAACGAAACGGUACGUCCUAAUACGGUGUGCUAAUGACGGUACCAGCAGAAGAAGCACCGGCUAACUACGUGCCAGCAGCCGCGGUAAUACGUAGGGUGCGAGCGUUAAUCGGAAUUACUGGGCGUAAAGCGUGCGCAGGCGGAUUGUUAAGCAAGAUGUGAAAUCCCCGGGCUUAACCUGGGAAUGGCAUUUUGAACUGGCAGUCUAGAGUGUGUCAGAGGGGGGUGGAAUUCCACGUGUAGCAGUGAAAUGCGUAGAGAUGUGGAGGAACACCAAUGGCGAAGGCAGCCCCCUGGGAUAACACUGACGCUCAUGUACGAAAGCGUGGGUAGCAAACAGGAUUAGAUACCCUAGUAGUCC
rnacentral:rRNA from 1 species